rnacentral:rRNA from 1 species
GACGAACGCUGGCGGCGUGCUUAACACAUGCAAGUCGAACGGUAAGGCCCUUCGGGGUACACGAGUGGCGAACGGGUGAGUAACACGUGGGUGAUCUGCCCUGCACUUCGGGAUAAGCCUGGGAAACUGGGUCUAAUACCGGAUAGGACCACUGCCUGCAUGGGUGGGGGUGGAAAGCUUUUGCGGGGUGGGAUGGGGCCGCGGCCUAUCAGCUUGUUGGUGGGGUGAUGGCCCACAAAGGCGACGACGGGUAGCCGGCCUGAGAGGGUGACCGGCCACACGGGGACUGAGAUACGGCCCAGACUGCUACGGGAGGCAGAAGGGGGGAAUAUUGCACAAUGGGCGCAAGCCUGAUUCAGCGACGCCGCGUGAGGGAUGACGGCCUUCGGGUUGUAAACCUCUUUCAGCACCGACGAAGCGCAAGUGACGGUAGGUGCAGAAGAAGGACCGGCCAACUACGUGCCAGCCGCCGCGGUAA